UCCUCCCUUGGUAUAAGGACAGCAGAUA
rnacentral:piRNA from 1 species